rnacentral:rRNA from 1 species
GUAAAAGUCGUAACAAGGUUUCCGUAGGUGAACCUGCGGAAGGAUCAUUACCAAAUACUGCUUGCUUGAACUUGACUGUUCUGCAAACAAAACCCCCUCUGCGUACCUGUACCUGUUGCUUCCGUCAGCCUGUGGGCGUCCCUCGGGGCGUCCCCUCCGGUGCCUGGCCAGUUCAUGGCCGGCUGGGGAGUUGCUGGCGGCGAGCCAAAACAUUAAACACCUGUCAUAUCUCUGCACAUGUCUGAGCUUUGAUGCUAUAAACAAAAACAAGUUAAAACUUUCAACAACGGAUCUCUUGGUUCUCGCAUCGAUGAAGAACGCAGCGAAAUGCGAUAAGUAGUGUGAAUUGCAGAAUUCAGUGAAUCAUCGAAUCUUUGAACGCACAUUGCGCCUUCCGGCAUUCCGGGAGGCAUGCCUGUCCGAACGUCAUCAAGCCCCUCGCCCGCGUCUGUUGCUUGCAACGGAAGCCUUGGGCGGUUCCUGGCAGAUGGGUUGCACUCGUGCGCCCACCGCCGAAAUCCAUCGGCAGACCCUUCAUGGCUGUGAUUGUGAUAAGAUUUUCUUACAAUUGCCUGUCUGACUGGUGUCUGGCCGCAACAAACCGCAGACCCUCCACGGGGCCGUGCGGCAAAACCAAAUCUUUUGACUUCGGAUCAGGUAGGGAUACCCGCUGAACUUAA